rnacentral:snRNA from 12 species
UUACUUACCUGGCACAGGACAGCCCCCCCUCUCCUUGGCCUUGAGUGACUCAUUGUAGUUAAGGGUGAAGGCUAGUCCCUUGCACUGCAGGAAGCCUGACCCCUGCAAGAGUCUAUAAUGCCUCCAAAUGUGAGGAUCUCAGUUACACAAUUUAUGGUGAUGAGGGAUUGCUCUUGGGCUUUCUCCCU